UAAGCUUCACAAACCUUUUGGCUCAGAUCAAGUGUAGUAUCUUAUUUCUUGUAGUUUAAUAUCAAUCGUCCCCCAUCUAACUACAUAUAAUGAUUUUUUGAACAGGAGGUCGGAGAUGGGGCCUCCGUCCGCUCCGCGCGUCAUCGUAUUACAGUACCUCCGGGAAUGGUGCAACUGCU
rnacentral:snRNA from 1 species